rnacentral:rRNA from 1 species
UGGGGAAUAUUGCACAAUGGGCGCAAGCCUGAUGCAGCCAUGCCGCGUGUAUGAAGAAGGCCUUCGGGUUGUAAAGUACUUUCAGUCGGGAGGAAGGUGGUAAGGUUAAUAACCUUAUCAAUUGACGUUACCGACAGAAGAAGCACCGGCUAACUCCGUGCCAGCAGCCGCGGUAAUACGGAGGGUGCAAGCGUUAAUCGGAAUUACUGGGCGUAAAGCGCACGCAGGCGGUUGAUUGAGUCAGAUGUGAAAUCCCCGGGCUCAACCUGGGAACUGCAUUCGAAACUGGCAGGCUAGAGUCUUGUAGAGGGGAGUAGAAUUCCAGGUGUAGCGGUGAAAUGCGUAGAGAUCUGGAGGAAUACCGGUGGCGAAGGCGGCCCCCUGGACAAAGACUGACGCUCAGGUGCGAAAGCGUGGGGAGCAAACAGG